GAUGAACGCUGGCGGCGUGCCUAAUACAUGCAAGUCGAGCGAACAGACGAGGAGCUUGCUCCUCUGACGUUAGCGGCGGACGGGUGAGUAACACGUGGAUAACCUACCUAUAAGACUGGGAUAACUUCGGGAAACCGGAGCUAAUACCGGAUAAUAUAUUGAACCGCAUGGUUCAAUAGUGAAAGACGGUUUUGCUGUCACUUUUAGAUGGAUCCGCGCCGCAUUAGCUAGUUGGUAAGGUAACGGCGUACCAAGGCAACGAUGCGUAGCCGACCGGAGAGGGUGAUCGGCCACACUGGAACUGAGACACGGUCCAGACUCCUACGGGAGGCAGCAGUAGGGAAUCUUCCGCAAUGGGCGAAAGCUUGACGGAGCAACGCCGCGUGAGUGAUGAAGGUCUUCGGAUCGUAAAACUCUGUUAUUAGGGAAGAACAAAUGUGUAAGUAACUAUGCACGUCUUGACGGUACCUAAUCAGAAAGCCACGGCUAACUACGUG
rnacentral:rRNA from 1 species